rnacentral:rRNA from 1 species
CUGGCCGUAAACGAUGGGUACUAGGUGUAGGAGGUAUCGACCCCUCCUGUGCCGGAGUUAACGCAAUAAGUAUCCCGCCUGGGAAGUACGAUCGCAAGAUUAAAACUCAAAGGAAUUGAC